GUGGCGGCGGCCUAGCACAUGCAGUCGAGCGGUAGCACAGAGAGCUUGCUCUCGGGUGACGAGCGGCGGACGGGUGAGUAAUGUCUGGGAAACUGCCUGAUGGAGGGGGAUAACUACUGGAAACGGUAGCUAAUACCGCAUAACGUCGCAAGACCAAAGUGGGGGACCUUCGGGCCUCAUGCCAUCAGAUGUGCCCAGAUGGGAUUAGCUAGUAGGUGGGGUAACGGCUCACCUAGGCGACGAUCCCUAGCUGGUCUGAGAGGAUGACCAGCCACACUGGAACUGAGACACGGUCCAGACUCCUACGGGAGGCAGCAGUGGGGAAUAUUGCACAAUGGGCGCAAGCCUGAUGCAGCCAUGCCGCGUGUAUGAAGAAGGCCUUCGGGUUGUAAAGUACUUUCAGCGGGGAGGAAGGCGAUAAGGUUAAUAACCUUGUCGAUUGACGUUACCCGCAGAAGAAGCACCGGCUAACUCCGUGCCAGCAGCCGCGGUAAUACGGAGGGUGCAAGCGUUAAUCGGAAUUACUGGGCGUAAAGCGCACGCAGGCGGUCUGUCAAGUCGGAUGUGAAAUCCCCGGGCUCAACCUGGGAACUGCAUUCGAAACUGGCAGGCUAGAGUCUUGUAGAGGGGGGUAGAAUUCCAGGUGUAGCGGUGAAAUGCGUAGAGAUCUGGAGGAAUACCGGUGGCGAAGGCGGCCCCCUGGACAAAGACUGACGCUCAGGUGCGAAAGCGUGGGGAGCAAACAGGAUUAGAUACCCUGGUAGUCCACGCCGUAAACGAUGUCGAUUUGGAGGUUGUGCCCUUGAGGCGUGGCUUCCGGAGCUAACGCGUUAAAUCGACCGCCUGGGGAGUACGGCCGCAAGGUUAAAACUCAAAUGAAUUGACGGGGGCCCGCACAAGCGGUGGAGCAUGUGGUUUAAUUCGAUGCAACGCGAAGAACCUUACCUGGUCUUGACAUCCACAGAACUUAGCAGAGAUGCUUUGGUGCCUUCGGGAACUGUGAGACAGGUGCUGCAUGGCUGUCGUCAGCUCGUGUUGUGAAAUGUUGGGUUAAGUCCCGCAACGAGCGCAACCCUUAUCCUUUGUUGCCAGCGGUCGGCCGGGAACUCAAAGGAGACUGCCAGUGAUAAACUGGAGGAAGGUGGGGAUGACGUCAAGUCAUCAUGGCCCUUACGACCAGGGCUACACACGUGCUACAAUGGCAUAUACAAAGAGAAGCGACCUCGCGAGAGCAAGCGGACCUCAUAAAGUAUGUCGUAGUCCGGAUUGGAGUCUGCAACUCGACUCCAUGAAGUCGGAAUCGCUAGUAAUCGUAGAUCAGAAUGCUACGGUGAAUACGUUCCCGGGCCUUGUACACACCGCCCGUCACACCAUGGGAGUGGGUUGCAAAAGAAGUAGGUAGCUUAACCUUCGGGAGGGCGCUUACCACUUUUGGAUC
rnacentral:rRNA from 1 species